UACGGGGGGAGCAAGCGUUGUUCGGAUUUACUGGGCGUAAAGGGCGCGUAGGCGGCCACCGCAAGUCAAUUGUGAAAUCUCCGGGCUUAACUCGGAAAGGUCAACUGAUACUGGCGAGCUAGAGUGCGGUAGAGGAUGGUGGAAUUCCCGGUGUAGCGGUGAAAUGCGUAGAGAUCGGGAGGAACACCCGUGGCGAAGGCGGCCAUCUGGACCAGCACUGACGCUGAGGCACGAAAGCGUGGGGAGCAAACAGG
rnacentral:rRNA from 1 species